rnacentral:snRNA from 1 species
AUCCCAUCAGAACUCCGCA